rnacentral:rRNA from 1 species
GACGAACGCUGGCGGCGUGCUUAACACAUGCAAGUCGAACGGAAAGGCCCUGCUUGCAGGGUGCUCGAGUGGCGAACGGGUGAGUAACACGUGGGUGAUCUGCCCCUUACUUUGGGAUAAGCCUGGGAAACUGGGUCUAAUACUGGAGAGGACCAUGCUGUAGGUGGUGUGGUGGAAAGAUUAGUUUCGGUGAGGGAUGAGCUCGCGGCCUAUCAGCUGGUUGGUGGGGUAAUGGCCUACCAAGGCGUCGACGGGUAGCCGGCCUGAGAGGGUGGACGGCGACAUUGGGACUGAGGUACGGCGCAGACGCCUACGGGAGGCAGCAGUGGUGGAUAUUGCACAAUGGGGGGAAGAAGGAUGCAGCGACGCCGCGUGGGGGGUGACGGCGUUCGGGUUGUAAACUCCUUUCAGCCAUGACGAAGCCGUUGUGGUGACGGUAGUGGUAGAAGAAGCACCGGCUAACUACGUG